rnacentral:rRNA from 1 species
AUUGAACGCUGGCGGCAGGCCUAACACAUGCAAGUCGAGCGGAGCGGCGGACGGGUGAGUAAUGCCUAGGAAUCUGCCUGGUAGUGGGGGAUAACGUCCGGCAACGGGCGCUAAUACCGCAUACUAUCAGAUGAGCCUAGGUCGGGUUAGCUAGGUGGUGGGGUAAAGGCCUACAAAGGAGACGAUCCGUAACUGGUCUGAGAGGAUGAUCAGUCACACGGGAACUGAGACACGGUCAAGACUCCUACGGGAGGCAGCCGGGGGGAAUAUUGGACAAUGGGCUAAAGCCUGAUCCAGCCAUGCCGCGUGUGUGAAGAAGGUCAUCGGAUUGUAAAGCACUUUAAGUUGGGAGGCGUUACCAACAGAAUAAGCACCGGCUAACUUCGUGCCAGCAGCCGCGGUAAUAC